rnacentral:lncRNA from 1 species
CUGGAGUGCAGUGGCAUGAUCUCGGCUGACUGCAACCUCCGCUUUCUGAGUUCAAGCGAUUCUCCUGCCUCGGCCUCCUGAGUAGCUGGGACUACAGGCGCCCACCACCACACCUGGCUAAUUUUUGUAUUUUUUGUAGAGACAGGGUUUUGCCAUGUUGACCAGGCUGGUCUUGAACUCCUGACCUCAAGUGAUCCACCCACCUCAGCCUCCCAAGGUGCUGGGAUUGCAGGCAUGAGACGCCACACCCAGCCCACUCCUGAAUCUAAAAUAUUCCUGGAAAUGGAGAGUCCUGACAUGAUGGCCCCAUGAUGAAAAGAACCCAGGUUCCUGAGUCACGACGUGGACAUGAGGCACCAAGGAGAAAACACGUGAACCUUAAUAAGUUUGGGAGCUUUGACAUUCUUCUGUCAAGUCACCUUGCAAGUCUCAUGCUUUCUGGAUUCACUGCAGAUUAGAGUACCCAGAAUUAGCCAAGACCUUCAACAUUUAAUGACUAGCCAUGGAGAAGAAAUAAGAUGAACUGCUUGUCCCAGAAAGCGAUAGAACUUUGAAAGCAGCUAUAUAUUUCCUAGCUACCUCUAAAAAAUGGAGCUGUCUUCAUGAGACCUGUAAGAAGCCAACAGUUUUCCUCACUGCCACCAUGUGAAGAAGGAUGUGUUUGUUUCCCUUCCUUCAUGAUUUCCUGGAGGCAGGGAAGUCUAAGAUCAAGGCACCAGCAGAUUUGGUUUUUGAUGUGGUCUCUCUUCCUGGCUUGUACUUAGCUGCUGCCUUGCUGUGUCCUCAUGUGGCCAAGAGAAUCAAAUGGAGGUUCCCAUGAUUUUCUUUUUCCUCAUGGAAACAUGUUUGGUCAGAAGGGAAACAAACCAAUUAAGGUGAUACCAAAGGAUGAUCCUUGAUACAGUUGUAUUUUGGUGGAGCGUUGAGAUUCGCCAGUGAACUCUAACAGUGAGGAUGGCACUGGAAUAAAAAGAGAAGAAACAUGUACUAGAAGCCAAAAAACCUUGUCUUAUUUUCUUUGAAAAAAGGAUGCUCUAGCUAAUAAUAGCAAUAGGGUUUCCACAUGUGCUGUGCUGUUAUUGUUGCCUGCAACAAAAGAACAACUUUGAAUAAUGAACAGUCUAGCUUCACAGCAGGACACUGUUCUACAGGGAGGCCCUCAAUU